CGGCCGCCGCGCGUGCUCCGUCCUCUCGUUGCUGUCGCGCUCUUUCAGGACAGCUGACACCAGCGCCCACUUUACAGACGGUGAGACUGCGGCUCAGGGCAGCUCGCGCGCCCGGCGUCAAGCAGCCGAGUCGUGGUGAAGAAGAGAGAUGAUGGAUGUGAGGUGUCUGGCACGUAACAGGAGCCCCAUCAACGGCUGCAGCAAACAAAACGACGACCCCAGGAUGAAAGUGACGUCCGACACAGAGCUUGGGACAGAGGAUCUAAGAACACAGAUCAAAGCACAAGUGGCAGUGAAGUCAUCACAAGAACCACAAAAAGAAGUUGUUUUAGCUAGUGCCGAGGAGAGGCUGGGGGAGCCAGCCGCCGCCCAGCGAGGGCAGCUCAGCAGACGCGAGGCGGCCAGCUCGGGCCGGCGGCAGCGGGGCUGGGCGGCGGGCGCGCUAGGUCACAGGGCCCUGGUUACUAUGAAGGGGACGUGGCUCCCCUUCCCAGAGGUGACAGACUGUCUCCUGGCCCUAAAUGUUUCACCCAAGACCUUAUUUAGGAGACAGUAACAACAUGGCCCUUCCACGAGCUUCACAGCCGACGCACAGUGGUCUUCCCGUGGCCGGGCCGUCCAGCCACCGUGCAGGUGAGCCCAGGGCACGCCGGGCCACACGGCAGCUCAGGAACGUCCUGCCUUGUUUUCAGAUGAGAAAUGAGCCUACGCGUAUUUAGAGGGAAAGUCAGACGUGCUGAGCAAAUUGCACAGGAGGCAAGACCAUAUUCAAGGGCACUUGGUUUCCUCUUGACUGGGUCACUGGUGGGCACACAAACAUGCCUUCCCUUUCAAAUGUGUGGACUGACGCGCUCGCCCCUGGGCCACCAGCCCCGCCACCGCUGCCUGCUUCACACCCCAGCCCACCCAGGCUCCCCCAUCACAAGGCGAACUUAUCCGAGUAGCUAUCCCUAGGACCGACCACUCGGGGGCAGCACUGAGCCUGCAGCGGGGAAAAAAAGGUCCAAAAUUUUCUUUGUAGGCAAAACCGUCCAGUAUAAGUGCAAUUCUAACAAUCUACUAACUCCGUGAAUCCU